AUUGAACGCUGGCGGCAGGCCUAACACAUGCAAGUCGAGCGGAUGAAGGGAGCUUGCUCCUGGAUUCAGCGGAGGACGGGUGAGUAAUGCCUAGGAAUCUGCCUGGUAGUGGGGGAUAACGUCCGGAAACGGGCGCUAAUACCGCAUACGUCCUGAGGGAGAAAGUGGGGGAUAUUCGGACUUCACGCUAUCAGAUGAGCCCAGGUCGGAUUAGCUAGUUGGUGGGGUAAAGGCCUACCAAGGCGACGAUCCGUAACUGGUCUGAGAGGAUGAUCAGUCACACUGGAACUGAGACACGGUCCAGACUCCUACGGGAGGCAGCAGUGGGGAAUAUUGGACGAUGGGCGAAAGCCUGAUCCAGCCAUGCCGCGUGUGUGAAGAAGGUCUUCGGAUUGUAAAGCACUUUAAGUUGGGAGGAAGGGCAGUAAGUUAAUACCUUGCUGUUUUGACGUUACCAACAGAAUAAGCACCGGCUAACUUCGUG
rnacentral:rRNA from 1 species